AUUGAACGCUGGCGGCAGGCCUAACACAUGCAAGUCGGACGGUAGCACAGAGGAGCUUGCUCCUCGGGUGACGAGUGGCGGACGGGUGAGUAAUGUCUGGGGAUCUGCCCGAUAGAGGGGGAUAACCACUGGAAACGGUGGCUAAUACCGCAUAACGUCGCAAGACCAAAGAGGGGGACCUUCGGGCCUCCCACUAUCGGAUGAACCCAGAUGGGAUUAGCUAGUAGGCGGGGUAACGGCCCACCUAGGCGACGAUCCCUAGCUGGUCUGAGAGGAUGACCAGCCACACUGGAACAGAGAAACGGUCCAGACUCCUACGGGAGGCAGCAGUGGGGAAUAUUGCACAAUGGGCGCAAGCCUGAUGCAGCCAUGCCGCGUGUAUGAAGAAGGCCUUCGGGUUGUAAAGUACUUUCAGCGGGGAGGAAGGCGAUGUGGUUAAUAACCGCAUUGAUUGACGUUACCCGCAGAAGAAGCACCGGCUAACUCCGUGCCAGCCGCCGCGGUAA
rnacentral:rRNA from 1 species